CCCGCAGAACCACAAAACCGCAAUUGUUAAGAGGUAAACGGGUAGGGUCCACGGCCCUUGGACGGUUUGAGGCCGGUAGUGGCCCCCGUCACACAGUGGCGCGGUCUUCCCGGAGUCGGAUUGCUUGGGAAUGCAGGCCAAAGCGGAUGGUCAACUCCAUCUACGGCGGAAUACCGGCACAACGACAAGUACCAUAAUGGACAGUUGAAAAGAACUUUGAAGAGAGGGUUCAAGAGGGCGUGAAACCGAAAAAAUACAACAAAGCCCUACUACACAAUGCAACAGUCAUACAGAUUGAUUUUUUUAAAAUAUUAUCCUUAUUGUUUACAUAACACAGGUAUUUCUUGAUUUAAACAAAUCAGUCCUGAAAACAGUGAGGAUAUCAAAAUUUGAUACCGAAAGCCUAUUACUCAUUACUUUAAACUGGAAAAAUAUUAAUGCGUUCCCAGCCCACCAGAAAACCCCAAUCUUCACCAAAUAUUACGAGAAGACUGUAAAACACCAAUGUUGUAAAACCCACGAUUUCAGCACCGUUUUAAACACAUUUGCAUUUACAUUUGUUUAUUAACGGAUACUUCUCGUAUCUCAGAA
rnacentral:ncRNA from 1 species